CCUACGGGUGGCUGCAGUGAGGAAUAUUGGUCAAUGGCCGGAAGGCUGAACCAGCCAAGUCGCGUGAGGGACGACUGCCCUAUGGGUUGUAAACCUCUUUUAUAAGGGAAGAAUAAAUGCUACGUGUAGCAUGAUGCCUGUACCUUAUGAAUAAGCAUCGGCUAACUCCGUGCCAGCAGCCGCGGUAAUACGGAGGAUGCGAGCGUUAUCCGGAUUUAUUGGGUUUAAAGGGUGCGUAGGCGGUUUUUUAAGUUGGUGGUUAAACGUCGGAGCUUAAACUUGAUUUGCCAUUAAUAAUGUACGACUCGAGUGCAGACGAGGGAGGCGGAAUAAGAUAAGUAGCGGUUAAAUGCUUAGAUAGAA
rnacentral:rRNA from 1 species